rnacentral:rRNA from 1 species
GACGAACGCUGGCGGCGUGCUUAACACAUGCAAGUCGAGCGGUAAGGCCCUUUCGGGGGUACGACGAGCGGCGAACGGGUGAGUAACACGUGGGUGACCUGCCCUCAGCUCUGGGAUAAGCCUGGGAAACCGGGUCUAAUACUGGAUAUGACUCCAUGACGCAUGUUGUGGGGUGGAAAGCCUUGUGCGGCUGAGGAUGGGCCCGCGGCCUAUCAGCUUGUUGGUGGGGUGAGGGCCUACCAAGGCGACGACGGGUAGCCGGCCUGAGAGGGCGACCGGCCACACUGGGACUGAGACACGGCCCAGACUCCUACGGGAGGCAGCAGUGGGGAAUCUUGCGCAAUGGGCGAAAGCCUGACGCAGCGACGCCGCGUGAGGGAUGACGGCCUGGUUGUAA